CCUACGGGAGGCAGCAGUGAGGAAUAUUGGUCAAUGGACGCAAGCCUGAACCAGCCAUGCCGCGUGCAGGAUGAAGGCUCUAUGAGUUGUAAACCGCUUUUGUACGAGAGUAAAGCACGAUACGUGUAUCUUGUUGAAAGUAGCUUACGAAGAAGGAUCGGCUAACUCCGUGCCAGCAGCCGCGGUAAUACGGAGGAUCCGAGCGUUAUCCGGAUUUAUUGGGUUUAAAGGGUGCGUAGGCGGCUUGUUAAGUUAGAGGUGAAAUGUCGGGGCGCAACCCCGGAACUGCCUCUGAUACUGGUGGGCUGGAGUAUCGUAGAGGUAGGCGGAAUGCAUGGUGUAGCGGUGAAAUGCUUAGAGAUCAUACAGAACACCGAUUGCGAAGGCAGCUUACCAAACCAUAACUGACGUUGAGGCACGAAAGCGUGGGUAGCAAACAGGAUUAGAUACCCCUGUAGUC
rnacentral:rRNA from 1 species